CCAGUGAAGAAACAGAAAUCCAUUGCAAGGCUUGAGAAGAACAGGAGGAAGAAUACAGGGGCGACAGCAAUGAGGGCAGCAGCAUUUCCAGUGAGGGACGAUCAUCAGGGAGAACCCAAGUGACACCAGCUUUUAAGAGGACUCCAGAAGAAGCAGCAUCCCAACACAAGAUACUGAGAGAGAGAGGAAGAUGACUCCACUAUUCCCAAACGUCUCUGCCACAACUCUACCCACCUGCACACCUGUAUGUGCCACAAUGGUUCUCUGUGGUUUGAAUCACCUGGAUCAUGGAUUCUGAUUUUGGCUGUAUUCCUUUGUGUGGACUUGGUACAUUUUCCAUGUUGGUGUUCGUUUACUUUAGUUGCUAAAGUUUGCACUAACAGUACAAAAAUAUAUUCUCACUUUUCCAGUAUGAAGUAUGCAAAAUCUCACACAGAACCAUGUAUUUGUUUGUACUUUCCUGUUGAAGCUAAAAAAUUAAACUAUUGCUAUAACUUUGAAGUUGUUCUGAUGAUGCAAAAGGACACAUCUGUCUCUCUCCCUCCCCCAUCUCUCUAGCUCUCUCUGUCCCUCCCCUCCCUCUCUCC